UGACAUCGAGAGUGACCGACUGAAAGGGAACAGAAAGUUUCACAGUUUAGACAUUAAAAAACAAAACAAAAAAACACUAUGCUUGAAAUAAUAGCCUUUGGUACCAUCAUGAAAAAUUACUCUGUAUUUAAAAGGAUUUUUAAAAAAUGUUGACAAGAACUGAGAGAUUUUCUGCCUGUUUCUGCCUGCUAUAAUCUUGGCACUUGUGCACAUUGUCACAUCUUUUACUGCAGUUUGCAAAAUGAUGCUCAGAAGCAUUGGCCUGAGAGAAUGAGCACUUGUUUGGGUGUUGUCUGAGGUGCCUGUUUUGCUGUAGGGCCCCAGGGUUCUCUUUUUAUGCCUUAUCAUAAAACCUCUUCCUUCACUUGGCACCCACAGUAAUUAAUCACUAAAUAAAUCGUAUUUAUUUAAACUAUUUCUGUUACAAUUUCCUCACUAAUGCAAAAUGUUCACAGUAUCAACAGGAAGUAAAUCUAAAAGCACAUGACAGAUAAAAAAGUAGAGAAGAUGAAACACACAAAAGAGUGUUUGUUAAAUUACUUGGGGGUUGAUUUUUAUCUUCAUAAAAUCUUUACCGUUGUUCACUAAGAAGUGUGAGGAGCAUGGAAUCAGCGAAGAGUAGGCCUAUAUUUGAGUUUCAAUUUGACAUACGAUGUGAGUAAAAAAUGUCAUUUCCAAACCAAAUUUUUGAAAAUGACUAAAUUUACCUGUGAUCCAUAUAUAGACUAUACUGUUAGACAUUGUAAUUUCUCAUGCCUUUUGACAAACUUUGUUUGAAGUGUGUUACAAUAGCAUCACUGUCACUUGGAACUACAAGUUGAUGUUAGUGAGGACUGUUCGCCUUUUGAAACAAAAUACACAAAGCUGUGUUAUUUACAGUCUGUAAACUGUCAAAGUUUAAAUGAGCAUUUGUUUGUGUGUCUGACAGGAAUGUACACUUCUUGUAAGUCAGACCUGGUUUAGAGUUCGAUAUCGUCAAAAAAUAUACAAUUCUGUGGUACCCACAACAGAACAGCUCAGUUCAUAAACACUGAACAAACUAGCAUAGCCUUGCAAGCAAGAGAAGCAGCUUAACUUUUAUCUCUCACUUGCAGGUCAAAAAACUCUCCAUCAUAAAACAUACACAUGUUUAAGAGCUUUACCCUGCCAAAGAGAAGUGAUCAUGGAGAGAUCGAAAAGAAAAACACCUGCCUGAAAGAUCAAACUUUGAUCCGCUCACGUUCAAGCACUACUUUGAGGAAGAUGGAUCUGUGGGUAAACCUUCCAGCUAAUUAGAUGGAAAAUUGAAUUGUUUCACUUUGAGGCUCCCUCCAACAUUGUUCAAAAGAGGCUUUCAUGAAAGGUCAACGUGAUUUUAUGUGUAACAUCUGGUUCUCAGUGAUCCGAUAGUUAACAUGAAAAUGCUUUGGCUCGCCAAAAUGCUUAUAUAAUUAAGGAAAACACCAGUAUCUUCCGAUUUGUCAGACGGUAUCACACGUGAAGAAUUUUUUAGCAUAACAUGUCACUGACAACCAUGAAACUCUUAUUGUGUUUUAAAUUGACCCAUGAGUUUAAAGAGCAAUUGAGUUUUCGUUUCCUACAUGUUGUUUUGGAAACGUUAGGUAACACAAAGCCCACUACACUUUGUGAUAACAUGCACUUAUUUUGGAGGUAGUUUCUUACCGAAAGCCAGCUUUAUGAUGCAGAUUUUGUAUAUACAACUUACAAGAACAAACAAUGGUGGAGGAUCCCCCUGAGAACCCAGAAAUAAACACAAACCCACAGUGCCAAAUCAUGAGGCAACACAUUUUAAAAGAUCAGUUGGCCCAUGUAUAAAGGAACAAAUAGGUACAGAGAAACAACCGUCAUUAAAGGUCUUUGAGUUUGAGAAACAUCAGGUACGGAUAUUUAAGCUCCAAACUGUAUAAAUUAUAGGCAUUUUCCUGGGUUCAACACAAGUUAAGCUAAAAUCAACAGCACUUUGGGGCAUAUUUUGAUUACUGCAGAAAAUAAUGUCGGUCCUUGUUUUCUUUAAAACCGAGGUUACAGUAAGGCACUAACAGUGAAAGCAAAUGGGGCUAGUUUUUAAGAACUUUUAGAAUUAUAAAUAUGAAGCUAAAUAAAUUGAAGCAAAUUUUUCACACUAAAUCAUAUUAAAAUGCAUAUAGUUUACAUCUUCUGGCUAAACUAUUUAGUUAUUUUACUUAUUUUAAAGGGGUUGUGAACUGAGAAAUCAAAAUUCCCUUUUGACAUAUAAGAGGUCAUUGUGCUAUAAAAACAUUCUGUAAUUUUCAGAACUCCAAACUUUACUGUUGGUCUAAAAACAGCGUAAAUUGACGUCAAUUUUGCCAAAAUGAAAGUUUGUGGAAUGGGCCACUUUAUGAUGUAAUAGUGUGGCUAAACUCUGCCUCCGCAGAAGAAGAUCAGCGCCUGGUUCUACAUCACUGCCUGUUUAGCUCCGCCCAUCGAUUUUUGCACAUAGUGAGUAAAUGAUGAGAGCGGCAAAUAUUCGUUUACAAACAAGGCGCAAUUCGAUGCAGGAUUUUCAAAAAGAUUGAAACUAAAAGAGAUGCUGUGCUUAAUAUAUUGGAUCCGACUGUAAUGUCACACCACACAAGUGUGAGUAACUGUUUUUAUUACAUGGUCAUUAUUGCUUUGUCUGUUAUUCAGUGGGUAUUUAUGCAUUUUUAACCUAAAACCUAACAGCAGCGUCCAUUUAUGAAGGAUGUAGGCUGUCAAAUAUACAUAACUCCAAGUUUACAAUCCGCCACGCCUAUUCAAACGGUGCGUUCCAAUGAGGAGGGGUCAAAACAGGACAGAAAAUAGCCUAUUACAUCUAAAUUAUGAUGAUUUUGAUGUAAAAAAUAUAACAUUGUAAGUGGACCUAAGAGAGCAGUACAAAAUAAAAAACAAAGGUAGUUCAUGACCACUUUAAUGUUUUACAGAUUGGCAUUGAACCUGGAAUAUUCACUUUAAAAUUCAUGCAAAAAUUAUCAUCUGUUUCUGCAUUUAGCUAUCUCUACCUGACAUGGUUCCAUUUUUCUUCAAGGUACAUGGGAAAUCUAGGUUAGUUUUUUUUUCCGAUGUACUGAUUUUUCUCCUUUUUAUGGAAAAAAUGAUCGCAUCAUGAAGUGAAAAUCCCUGGAGGUUACAACACAUUUUAAAAAAAUGCUUAUUGUCAGAAAGACACGGAGGCUCUGGAAUACAUCUGAGGAGACUCCGCAUGUCUGACAUAAAGCUCCACUCAGGACGUGAUGUACUAUACCCAGGUGUAGCACUCUUGCUAAUUCUUGUCAUCGAAUGGUUCUAAAUAUCCCUCUGUUUGCACAAGCAGCUUGAAACAGCCAAAGGAAAGACAACAGAGACAACAAAUGGAAAGAAUUCAGCAUUCAGGUCAGAAUGAGCAACACUUGUCACUUAAUCAACACAUGUCUUUUUUCCACAGAAAGGCCAUCGCUGCAGUAUCCAUCCAUCACUCCACACAUCUGUAGGUUGAGAUUUUUGGGUUGAUUUAUUUUAGAAAACAAGUCUCCCUCCAUCCUCCUGUUGUCUCACUUACUAAUGGCCGUAAAUACAUUACUUUAUCCUCGAAUAACAACUGUGCAACUCUUCUACAAAAGUCAGAUGGUACUUUGGUAUCAAUUAUGACACUCUGAAUAAUGACAUUGCAUUCUGUAGAGCUGCUUAUAUCUGAAUUGAUCUUGUUUUAUAAUAGAUGAUUUUAGCAACACUAUCGUACUAAACUGAAACAACACUAGUUAAUUAAGUAAAUUAAGUGUAAUAAUGACAUUAUUGGAGGUGCUUUACAGCUGAAAUUGAAUUUGUUUCAUAUUAAUACAUUUUAAAAUAGUAACACUUUUCAAAAAAAAAUUCUUGUUAUUUAUUUUUAGAAUCAGGGUUUUAAAUUUAAAAAAAUAUUUUAUUUCUUUUGGUAAAAAGGUUGCAAAAAUUACAAACCUCAUACAGGCUUAUAAAUAGAAAAUGUAAUAUAAAAUUUUGGCCCUUUCAAGUGAGGUCUGAAGAGCAUGAGGCUCAGUUCAAAAGGGAAAGGAAGGUUGACAGAGAGUCAGAGGUUAAAGAGUAGGCUUAUUUUAUGGGCUCAAAGGGCAGAGUAGAAUUUCUUUAACCCCUUAACACCACCUGGCCUGUUUAGGCAAGUUCUGACAAAAAUCAGGGGCAGAGGUAUUGUGCAAAGAGCUGUAUGUCUGCCACACAAUGUGAAUAUCAUAAUUUCAGAGUUCAGCAUUAAAGCUUUUGUAUCAUUUCUAUUUUAACUGUGGUGUACAUUUGACAGGGUAUGUUUGCACGUUUACUUUUGUGUUUGCUUGUUUGUAAAAUAUUCUUCUUUCUCCCUGCCUGGGGUUUUUCCAUCAGCAGAUCUUUAGACAAAAACAGAUGCUUUAAAUCUCCACAGCUGAGAGACUCCAGGAGAAAGUACACAACUAACCUUUCAGAGAAAUAUUUAUGUCUCUUUUGGUAUCAUUAUUUGUUUAUUCAUUUCUUCUUUCAUUCAGCCCACUCGUCAUUCAACAAAAAAUGAUGAACAAUAUACAGAAUAAAACUGGUGUUCAUCUUUGCCAUAUUAAAUAAAGGUUACAGAUGCAUUAUGUGUUUUAGAAAAAAGUCAGACUAGUGCAAAACAGCUCAAAGAGUUGCUUGGGCAUCGUUUACAAAAACAGCAAAAUUAUGAAACAAGUCAAAGGGAACAUUCUCAAGAAUGCUGAAUGAAUGCCAUGUAUGAAAACCUCAGAAAUUACAAAAGAAUUGACUAAACCCUCUCAGUCUCAACAAAAACUCCAUCAUGAUCUUUGAAAAGCUGGAAUUUAUGGCAAGUCUGGAAAGUUCUUGAACUAAAUGCAAAAUGUGAAGCAAAACCCCUUGAGCUAUGGAAAUAAAGCAAUGAGCAAUGGAGCCCCGAGCAAUGGAAAACAGUAAUAUGGUCUGAGGAGUCAUCUUCAGUCCUGUUUCCUGCUUCCAGAUGGGUUACGAUUGGAUAAGGCCAAACGAGGCCUUUAACCUACAAUUACCUGUUAACGAUUGUGCACCUCUGUAUAGGGACCAUGAUGCUACACUGUUAGCAUAUGGAGCUUUUGAGUCACAGACACUUUGGAAACUAAAUGUAUAUAAAAACAUUUCAAACCAACUAGUCUAACACAGUUGAGUCUGAACAAACUAUGACAUAUGAAAAAAGAAAAAAAAGCAUAUUUCAAUGCUUUUGUGAAUGAAUGCAAAGUUUCUAGCAAAUGUUUUAAAAGCACAUACAAAGUUUGUCUGGGAAACAAUAACAUUUUUGCAAGACAAUGCAAAAUAAUUGGAUCAUCAUGUCCCUUUAGGGGCUCUAUAGAUUGUUCUUUUGCUGUUUGAUGACAUUAUGUAUGCUGAUGUUAUUCCUGUCAUCACUGUUAGCUGGUGGUGGUGUUAAAUUUUAAUGCUUGUUGCCAUUUUUAAGGAUUAUUUAUGAAUUGUCGAGGUCCAUGCGCAUCUACUGUAUGUGAAACUAUAAGGUUAUAUAAGAACACUUUCAAACUUGUUUCAAAACCUAAAGUGAAUGAUGAAAUUCAAACUGGCUAAUCAAUGUCAUAUUACAAUAAGUACAGAGAACUCAAAACAAUUCAGUGAAUCAUGUUGCUUUUUUUGUCUUUUUCCUCAACAGUUCUUUUUUUCCCCAUUGUAUUUGCAGAAAAAGGAACACCCUAUUAUGCAAUUACUGAUCCUUAAUGAUGUUCCCGUUUUCAAAAUGUUAACACUUCAUACUAAACAAAAUCAAAUGUGGUUUUAGCAGAACCAGAAUGAGGUAAACCUCACUGAACCUUCAUGGAUUAGAAUUUGGAGCAUUGCGAACAAUGUAAUUUUCCAUUGUCCUUAUCCUUUUAAGAACUGCAAGGGUUUCCUUCUUGAAGUAUUUUGAAAGGUCAUACUACACAGACUUGACAGCAAUCCAAGAGGCGCUGAAGCUAUUCCGAGGGUGGCCUUGAUAAGUGUCUUACUUAUGUUGUCCAGUCCCUCUAAAUACAUCAGGACUGAGAUGAGGCCACGCUUUGAUCAAAGUAACACUGCCUUCUGUCCAUCCAGUAUUCAUCCAUCUUCAAUACCGGCUUAUUCUUUGUACGAUCACUGGGGAAGGUUGGAGCUUUUCCCAGCAUAUUUUAGGCCAAAGGCAGGGAAACACCCUGGACAGGUGGCCAAUCCAUCACAAGACCAGCCGUGAUCAGACACUCUGAUAUAUGAGGAACAUCUUGCUUAUUGACCAGAGAGAACAGCCAUAUGUUGUAAAUUUUUUUGAGCGUACACAAUGUUUUUAUUAUCAAAGUUACCAGUAACUUUGCCAUAACAGCUAAUAUUUCAGAAUUUAAAAAGUAGUGUAGUAUUGUGCUAUUCUGACUCCAGUAGAGGUCCAGUAGGAGGCGGUAAUUAAGAGAAAACCAUUAACUUGUUAAUUCAACCGAUUCCUUCAAAACAGAUUCAUUCAAGCGUGUCACUUGGGCACAAACCACAGCAACAAUGGACAAUGGAGAUAAAUCCCUCCUGAGAAUAAUUUUCCUUGA